AUUGAACGCUGGCGGAAUGCUUUACACAUGCAAGUCGAACGGCAGCACGGACUUCGGUCUGGUGGCGAGUGGCGAACGGGUGAGUAAUGUAUCGGAACGUGCCCAGUCGUGGGGGAUAACGUAGUGAAAAUUACGCUAUACCGCAUACGAUCUAUGGAUGAAAGCGGGGGAUCGCAAGACCUCGCGCGAUUGGAGCGGCCGAUAUCAGAUUAGGUAGUUGGUGGGGUAAAGGCCCACCAAGCCAACGAUCUGUAGCUGGUCUGAGAGGACUACCAGCCACGAUGGCACUAAGACACUGUCCAGACUCCUACGGGAGGCAGCAGUAGGGAAUUUUGGACAAUGGGCGAAAGCCUGAUCCUGCCAUUCCGCGUGCAGGAUGAAGGCCCUCGAGUUGUAAACUGCUUUUGUACAGAACGAAAAGGUUUCUACUAAUACUAGGAGCUCAUGACGGUACUGUAAGAAUAAGCACCGGCUAACUACGUGCCAGCAGCCGCGGUAA
rnacentral:rRNA from 1 species